rnacentral:rRNA from 1 species
UACGUAGGGGGCAAGCGUUGUCCGGAUUUAUUGGGCGUAAAGAGCGUGUAGGCGGCCAGUUAGGUCCGUUGUGAAAACUGGAGGCUUAACCUCCAGCUGUCGAUGGAAACCAUCUGGCUAGAGUCCGGAAGAGGAGAGUGGAAUUCCUGGUGUAGCGGUGAAAUGCGCAGAUAUCAGGAAGAACACCCGUGGCGAAGGCGGCUCUCUGGGACGGUACUGACGCUGAGACGCGAAAGCGUGGGGAGCGAACAGG